rfam:Alteromonas macleodii str. &apos;Black Sea 11&apos;, complete genome.
UGCCCAUGUUGGCAGGUAUGGGUUCAGAAUUUUAAUAAAAGCCCCGCUAGUCCGGGGCUUUUUGUUGUAUUAAAACCUGGAGUCAGCCUCGCUGAGCCGGGUGAUGACAGGUGGGCUUUAGGCCCUUUUUUC